GACGGGGGCCCGCACAAGCAGUGGAUUAUGUGGUUUAAUUCGAAGCAACGCGAAGAACCUUACCAGGUCUUGACAUCUCCUGCAUAACCUAGAGAUAGGUGAAGUCCUUCGGGACAGGAUGACAGGUGGUGCAUGGUUGUCGUCAGCCCGUGUCGUGAGAUGUUGGGUUAAGUCCCGCAACGAGCGCAACCCUUGCCAUUAGUUGCUACGCGAGAGCACUCUAAUGGGACCGCUACCGACAAGGUGGAGGAAGGUGGGGAUGACGUCAAAUCAUCAUGCCCCUUAUGACCUGGGCUACACACGUAAUACAAUGGCCAUCAACAGAGGGUCGCAAUACCGCGAGGUGGAGCCAAUCCCUAAAAAUGGUCUCAGUUCGGAUCGCAGGCUGCAACCCUGCCUGCGUGAAGCUGGAAUUGCUAGUAGUCGCGGAUCAGCAUGCCGCGGUGAAUACGUUCCCGGGCCUUGUACACACCGCCCGUCACACCAUGGGAGUUUGUAACACCCGAAGUCUGUAGUCUAACCCUUGUGGAGGACGCAGCCGAAGGUGGGAUAAGCGACUGGGGGAAGUCGUAACAAGGGUCCGUCAAAAC
rnacentral:rRNA from 1 species